GGAGAGGUGCCCGGAGUGGUUGAUCGGGGACCGCCGAGUCCGUCUCGAGGUCGGGCCCUUCGGGGCCCACGCAGGUUCGAAUCCUGCCCUCUCCG
rfam:Streptomyces griseofuscus strain NG1-7 NG1-17_1_1, whole genome shotgun sequence.